ACGGAAAUAACCUCGUAAUCUGC
rnacentral:siRNA from 1 species